rnacentral:lncRNA from 1 species
GUGAACAGAGGAGGCGGAGCUUGCAGUGAGCCGAGAUGGUGCCACUGCACUCCAUCCUGGGCGACAGAGUGAGACGCCGUCUCAAAAAAAAAAAUAAAAGAGACAGGGGUCUGGCUAUGUUGCCCAGGCUGGUCUUGAACUCCUGAGCUCAAGUGAUCCUCCCACCUUGGUAUCCCAAACUGCCAGGACUACAGGCAAGGCAUUAGCCACCAUGCCUGGACCAGGUUUUAGUUUUUUUCUUAAUUGUUUACAAUCUUGCCCCACCCUUUCUUCAUUUUAAAGGGAAUUUAUGCUCCUAUUUGGCUGGGCUGGGCUCAUUCUGCCACACUGAGCUGCUUGCUCUUCUAACGUCCUCCAGAGUUUCUGGCUCUGGAGUCCUGAGUCUGCCUUGCCCGCAGCCUUUACAGCCUGGCACUAGGAGCAUAAGUUCCCUUUAAAAUGAAGAGAGAGUGGGGCAAGUUUGUAAAAAAUUAAGAAAAAAACUAAAGCCUGGGCCAGAUAUGGUGGCUCAUGCCUGUAGUCCCAGCACUUUGGGGUGCCGAGGCGGGAAGACCACUUGAGCUCAGGAGUUCAAGACUAGCGUAGGCAACAUAGCCAGGUCCCUGUCUCUUUUAAAAAAAAUGCCCACGGUGAAACCCCGUCUCUACAAAAAAUAUAAAAAUUAGCCGGGCGAGGUGGCGUGCGCCUGUAAUCCCAGCUACUCAGGAGGCUGAGGCAGGAGAAUUGCUUGAACCCGGGAGGAGGAGGUUGCAGUGAGCCGAGAUCGUGCCGCUGCAUUCCAGCCUAGGCGACAGAGCUGGGUCUUAGUUGAUAUCACCUUGGCCAGUCACUCCCCAUCUCUGGGUCCCAGUGUUUUCACCAAUCCAUUGCCUCGUGGACCUUAAUUUCAGAUCAUAUGAGUAAAAUCCCAUGGAAAGGAAACCAUCCUGAGCAUACUAAAAGCUGCAGUCAGUUCACACGCCUGGAUGAGCCAGAGGCCAUACAAGUCUCAUCUCCAACACCUCCCAGCUGUUCCUUAACCUCUGCCGGCCUUAGUUUCCUCAUCUAUGAAAUGGGCAACAAUAAACUUAGUGUUGUGAGGAUUUACAUCAUGUAGGGAAAGAAGUUUAGCAUAAUAUGUGCCCCGGAAACAGACUGAUUAGUUCAAAUUUGGGCUCUGACAUAUAGCAGAGCCCAUAUAGCAUAUGGCAUAUAGCAUAUAUAUGGUCACAUAUAGCUAUGUGACCUUGAGCAAACAAACCUGUCUGAGCUUCAGUUUCCUCAUCUGAGAAAUAAGAAUAAUAAUGAGGACUUACCUCCAAGGUUGCUAUGAAAAGCAAGGCAAGGGCCAGGCGCAGUGGCUCACACCUGUAAUCCCAACACUUUGGGAGGCCGAGGCAGGUGGAUCACCUGAGGUCAGGAGUUCGAGACCAGCCUCGCCAAUAUGGCAAAACCCCGUCUUUACUAAAAAUACAAAAAAAAAAAAAAAACAGCCGGGUGUGGUGGCGGGCACCUAUAAUCCCAGCUACUAAAGAGGCUGAGGCAGGAGAAUCACUUGAACCUGGGGGGGCAGAGGUUGCAGUGAGCCAAGAUCACAACACUGCACUCAAGCCUGGGCAACAGAGCAAAACUCUGCCAAAAAAAAAAAAACAAAAAAAAUUGGCUGAGUGUGGUGGCUCAUGCCUGUAAUCCCAGGACUUUGGGAGGUCGAGUUGGGUGGAUCACGAGGUCAGGAGAUCGAGACC